rnacentral:rRNA from 1 species
UACGAAGGGGGCUAGCGUUGUUCGGAAUUACUGGGCGUAAAGGGCGCGUAGGCGGCCCGCUCAGUCAGAUGUGAAAGCCCCGGGCUCAACCUGGGAACUGCAUUUGAUACUGGCGGGCUUGAGUUCCGGAGAGGAUGGUGGAAUUCCCAGUGUAGAGGUGAAAUUCGUAGAUAUUGGGAAGAACACCGGUGGCGAAGGCGGCCAUCUGGACGGACACUGACGCUGAGGCGCGAAAGCGUGGGGAGCAAACAGG